UACGUAGGUGGCAAGCGUUGUCCGGAAUUAUUGGGCGUAAAGAGCUUGUAGGCGGUCUGUCGCGUCUGCUGUGAAAAUCCGGGGCUCAACCCCGGACUUGCAGUGGGUACGGGCAGACUAGAGUGUGGUAGGGGAGACUGGAAUUCCUGGUGUAGCGGUGAAAUGCGCAGAUAUCAGGAGGAACACCGAUGGCGAAGGCAGGUCUCUGGGCCAUAACUGACGCUGAGAAGCGAAAGCAUGGGGAGCGAACAGG
rnacentral:rRNA from 1 species